rnacentral:rRNA from 1 species
GAUGAACGCUGGCGGCGUGCCUAAUACAUGCAAGUCGAGCGAACAGAUGAGGAGCUUGCUCCUCUGACGUUAGCGGCGGACGGGUGAGUAACGCGUGGAUAACCUACCUAUAAGACUGGGAUAACUUCGGGAAACCGGAGCUAAUACCGGAUAAUAUAUUGAAUCGCAUGGUUCAAUAGUGAAAGACGGUUUUGCUGUCACUUAUAGAUGGAUCCGCGCCGCAUUAGCUAGUUGGUAAGGUAACGGCUUACCAAGGCAACGAUGCGUAGCCGACCUGAGAGGGUGAUCGGCCACACUGGAACUGAGACACGGUCCAGACUCCUACGGGAGGCAGCAGUAGGGAAUCUUCCGCAAUGGGCGAAAGCCUGACGGAGCAACGCCGCGUGAGUGAUGAAGGUCUUCGGAUCGUAAAACUCUGUUAUUAGGGAAGAACAAAUGUGUAAGUAACUAUGCACGUCUUGACGGUACCUAAUCAGAAAGCCACGGCUAACUACGUG